rnacentral:rRNA from 2 species
CCCUAAUACAUGCAAGUCGAACGAACUCUGGUAUUGAUUGGUGCUUGCAUCAUGAUUUACAUUUGAGUGAGUGGCGAACUGGUGAGUAACACGUGGGAAACCUGCCCAGAAGCGGGGGAUAACACCUGGAAACAGAUGCUAAUACCGCAUAACAACUUGGACCGCAUGGUCCGAGUUUGAAAGAUGGCUUCGGCUAUCACUUUUGGAUGGUCCCGCGGCGUAUUAGCUAGAUGGUGGGGUAACGGCUCACCAUGGCAAUGAUACGUAGCCGACCUGAGAGGGUAAUCGGCCACAUUGGGACUGAGACACGGCCCAAACUCCUACGGGAGGCAGCAGUAGGGAAUCUUCCACAAUGGACGAAAGUCUGAUGGAGCAACGCCGCGUGAGUGAAGAAGGGUUUCGGCUCGUAAAACUCUGUUGUUAAAGAAGAACAUAUCUGAGAGUAACUGUUCAGGUAUUGACGGUAUUUAACCAGAAAGCCACGGCUAACUACGUGCCAGCAGCCGCGGUAAUACGUAGGUGGCAAGCGUUGUCCGGAUUUAUUGGGCGUAAAGCGAGCGCAGGCGGUUUUUUAAGUCUGAUGUGAAAGCCUUCGGCUCAACCGAAGAAGUGCAUCGGAAACUGGGAAACUUGAGUGCAGAAGAGGACAGUGGAACUCCAUGUGUAGCGGUGAAAUGCGUAGAUAUAUGGAAGAACACCAGUGGCGAAGGCGGCUGUCUGGUCUGUAACUGACGCUGAGGCUCGAAAGUAUGGGUAGCAAACAGGAUUAGAUACCCUGGUAGUCCAUACCGUAAACGAUGAAUGCUAAGUGUUGGAGGGUUUCCGCCCUUCAGUGCUGCAGCUAACGCAUUAAGCAUUCCGCCUGGGGAGUACGGCCGCAAGGCUGAAACUCAAAGGAAUUGACGGGGGCCCGCACAAGCGGUGGAGCAUGUGGUUUAAUUCGAAGCUACGCGAAGAACCUUACCAGGUCUUGACAUACUAUGCAAAUCUAAGAGAUUAGACGUUCCCUUCGGGGACAUGGAUACAGGUGGUGCAUGGUUGUCGUCAGCUCGUGUCGUGAGAUGUUGGGUUAAGUCCCGCAACGAGCGCAACCCUUAUUAUCAGUUGCCAGCAUUAAGUUGGGCACUCUGGUGAGACUGCCGGUGACAAACCGGAGGAAGGUGGGGAUGACGUCAAAUCAUCAUGCCCCUUAUGACCUGGGCUACACACGUGCUACAAUGGAUGGUACAACGAGUUGCGAACUCGCGAGAGUAAGCUAAUCUCUUAAAGCCAUUCUCAGUUCGGAUUGUAGGCUGCAACUCGCCUACAUGAAGUCGGAAUCGCUAGUAAUCGCGGAUCAGCAUGCCGCGGUGAAUACGUUCCCGGGCCUUGUACACACCGCCCGUCACACCAUGAGAGUUUGUAACACCCAAAGUCGGUGGGGUAACCUUUUAGGAACCAGCCGCCU